UCAAAUGCUCCACUCCGCUUCUUUCUUUAACAAUAGAACAGCAACAUGAUUUUCUACAAGAAGCCUCUGCUUCUCUUCCUUCUAUCAAGUAAAAAAAUAAUUGAAGUUGUCGUUUCAUGUUCUACUUUUAGAUUCACAUCAUCACAUGUUCAGAUUCCAGUUUCUAAUUAGCCGUCGUCUCUUCAUUCGAAAUCUCUGACCCCAAACAGAUGUUCUUAUCUGCAGAUAAAUUGCAAGUUUUAAUUGUGGUGUUUCAAGUAGUAAUA